rnacentral:rRNA from 1 species
UACGUAGGGCCCGAGCGUUAUCCGGAGUGACUGGGCGUAAAGAGUUGCGUAGGCGGCAGUUUAAGCGAGGAGUGAAAUCUGAUGGCUCAACCAUCAAUACAUUUCUCGAACUGGGCUGCUCGAGAGUAGUAGAGAUACCUGGAAUUCCCUGUGUAGGAGUGAAAUCCGUAGAUAUAGGGAGGAACACCAAUGGCGUAGGCAGGGUAUUGGACUAUUUCUGACGCUAAGGCACGAAAGCGUGGGGAGCGAACCGG